GCAGUAUACAGUAUAUUUGAGUUGAGGAAGGUGUGUGGUGUAUCUGCAGUAUAUUUGAGUUGAGGAAGGUGUGUGAGGUAUCUGCAGUAUAGUAUAUUUGAGUUACAUUUACAUUUACAUUUAGUCAUUUAGCAGACGCUUUUGUCCAAAGCGACGUACAAUGGAGAGAACAGUCAAGCUAAGAGCAAUAAAAAACAUGGUGUAACAAUAAAUACUACUUUACAUGAGAAUUAGAAAACAACGACCUAGAAAAAAAGGAAAAAGAAGUGCAGGAAUGUAACUGUUGAAGUGCAAGUUAAGCGCUAGUCAAGGUGCCAGUUAGGAAGGGAGGUGCUCUCUGAAGAGUUGGGUCUAGGUGUGGAGGUAUCUGCAGUAUAGUAUAUUUGAGUUGAGGAAGGUGUGGAGGUAUCUACAGUAUAUUUGAGUUGAGGAAGGUGUGUGGUGUAUCUGCAGUAUAUUUGAGUUGAGGAAGGUGUGUGGUGUAUCUACAGUAUAGUAUAUUUGAGUUGAGGAAGGUGUGUGAGGUAUCUACAGUAUAUUUGAGUUGAGGAAGGUGUGUGGUGUAUCUACAGUAUAUUUGAGUUGAGGAAGGUGUGGUGUAUCUGCAGUACAGUAUCUUUGAGUUGAGGAAGGUGUGGUGUAUCUGCAGUACAGUGUAUUUGAGUUGAGGAGAUCACACACGUGCUGAAUGGUUCAUACCGGAGUUGAGAGGACUGAUGGCAUGAAUAUGGUUAUCUGUCGCAUUCAGACUUGUGGAUUUGCCACAGUGUUGACGUGAGGCACCCUGGGAAGACAAUUAGCAUGUCCCAGGGAGAGACAGAGAGAGG
ensembl:lncRNA